rnacentral:lncRNA from 1 species
UACAAUGGCAUUUGAUCAGUUUAUGAUGUGAUUGCCUGCACCAGCAGGGGACGAGGCAGGCGUGCUCACUGUCUGGCUGGGAGGACAGGCUGUUGCAGAAGCACUGCACAAGCCUUAGGAAGAGCUGGGUAAUGACUGACCACCAAGAGGGGUUUUAGCAAAGUUUUCCUCUGGGUGGCACUUGGUAAACAUGGAUAUUUGCUUCUUCAAGGUGCAUGUGGAAGGCAUCAGGAUAUUCAAAUGUAGGAAUAUUUUGUGACUUUUCUGUUGGUUUUAAUAAGGAAAAUUGCUUUUAGAACCAGUUAUUUAAUUAACUUUCUAAUAAGGACUUAAGUUUUACACACCUGGGCUGGCGAAAUAUGGUGGUCUUGGGUCUCAGUCUGUUGGUUUAAGUCACCCAAAGCCCAUGUCAAUGCCUGCAGUAGAUGAUGUACUCCUCUAGCCUGUUUCUGUGUGUUUUGAGCAAGGAACUUUCACCAGGAGGUUUAAACUGACAAGUCAAAGCUUGAGUUUCCUAAACUCUUCUGCAAUAGUAGAUCAAUUUUAGCCUCUAAAGGAAACCUUAGUGCUGCAGGCAACUUACUCCUGUUCCUUUCUCACAGCACUUAGCUAUGGCACAGAAAGGUACCAUCUUUGUGGGUAAGGGAGGCUGCAAAGCUUUUGCUAUCAAUAGCACAGUUUAUUAUGUGAUUUGUAGUCUAAUUUCUACCUAACAGAACUCACAGUUGUGGCACGGCUGCUAAAGUAAAUUUUCAUUUGCUCUUCUUGAAUCCACUGAAGUGCUGGGCAGUAAAACCUCCAGUCUGAUGCACAUCCUCCCAUCAGUGUGUGUCCCUGGAGCUCAUCACUUGAUGCUGAUCAGACUGAAAGGCUGUGUAAAACUUGGAUCAAGAAACUCAUAUAAUUCCUUUCCCAGUCCAUUCUUGGACCAUCACAAGAACUUUCAGGGCUCUGACACAGCUGGGAUGAAGCUUCUCCAAUGGACAUUUCUCCAUCUGACUCUGGUGCCAGCCUUGAUACACAGCUCUGAAAAUCAAGGGAAAAUGUUCUUCACCUGGCUCAGCUGCACAGAGAGAAACAGUCCCAUCAUCACACUUCCUACAGAGAUCUGCUGGUUCUUGACCAAGCAGGAAUACAUACAAAGAGUUAAGAAGGACUGAAUGUGGUGUGAUUUGUGGUCUUAAAAAAUAAUUCCCAGGAGUUCUGUAGAACCUAUCCCCACUCAUCAUACUCAGCCUAUUAGUGAAGCAAAUCCUUCAUUCAACAUGUGACACUUAAAAGACUGUUGAGUUGAAAUUUGAUGUGAACAUUCAAUAAGUUGUUUGUUUGUUUCUUUCUUACUUUAUCACAAGAUAUUCACCCACAUCUUAUACAGCAGAAUUGUGAGAUGCCUACAGAGAGGUUGUAAACAGAGCAUGAAAAUAUAUGAUGUAAG